AUGACAAAAGAUCUUCCAGUCGAGAGUGCAACUGCUACAAUUGUGGGAGACCCGGACACUAUUCCAAUGAGUGUACGACACCCUACAAAAGAAGAGAAGAUUCUUCUAAAAGAAGAAGUAGAAGAGAAGAAUCACCACCAAGAGAGAGAAGGAGUAGAGAUGAUCGUUAUGAAUGAAGACCCUCACGGAGAAGCAAAGAUUCGGAAAGGAAGGACAAGUCAUCAAAGAGCUACACAAAACGAAGACAUCAAGCUCAUGUUGGUGAAUGGGUAUCCGGUUCCGACUCUGAACAUCACUCCGAGAGAAGCUAUCACUCCGACUCCGAACAUGCUGAAGAUUAAGGUAUUGCCGGUCUAG
rnacentral:rRNA from 1 species